rnacentral:tRNA from 1 species
GGAGAGGUGGCCGAGUGGUCGAAGGCGCUCCCCUGCUAAGGGAGUAGGUGGUUAAAAGCUGCCUCGUGGGUUCGAAUCCCAUCCUCUCCGCCA